rnacentral:miRNA from 1 species
UGGGUGGGGGCGGCAGGG